rfam:Populus trichocarpa scaffold_12_contig_179, whole genome shotgun sequence.
GAUCGCAAUGAUGACAUUUAAAAUUCAAGCUCAACAGACCGGAUCACAAUCUUUCUUUCUGAAAGCUUGUAUGGCGAUAACCGCUGAACUGAGCGAUC